rnacentral:rRNA from 1 species
AACGAACGCUGGCGGCAUGCCUAACACAUGCAAGUCGAACGAGAUCUUCGGGUCUAGUGGCGCACGGGUGCGUAACGCGUGGGAAUCUGCCCUUUGGUUCGGAAUAACAGUUGGAAACGACUGCUAAUACCGGAUGAUGACGAAAGUCCAAAGAUUUAUCGCCAGAGGAUGAGCCCGCGUAGGAUUAGCUAGUUGGUGUGGUAAAGGCGCACCAAGGCGACGAUACUUAGCUGGUCUGAGAGGAUGAUCAGCCACACUGGGACUGAGACACGGCCCAGACUCCUACGGGAGGCAGCAGUGGGGAAUAUUGGACAAGGGGCGAAAGCCUGAUCCAGCAAUGCCGCGUGAGUGAUGAAGGCCUUAGAGUUGUAAAGCUCUUUUACCCGGGAUGAUAAUGACAGUACCGGGAGAAUAAGCUCCGGCUAACUCCGUGCCAGCCGCCGCGGUAA